UUCCCCGGUAAAGUGGACCCAAAUUUUUUUUAAAAAAAGUUAGUUGUGUACAUAUUAAGUGGACACAAAUUAGAAAAAGUUGUGAUAAUUAGCUGAUUAAUGUGGGUCCAUUACUGACAAUAUGUGUAAAUAUGUGGAAAUUAUAAUGGUGACAAUUAGCGAGGUUAUACCCAAAAAAGGAAUAUGAAAAUAUUUUGUGGACGGACGA
rnacentral:lncRNA from 1 species